CCGACUCGCUGACCGGAAUCAAGUUGCGCUGGAAUUCUUUGACGGAAUCUGACAUCUCCGCAAAAUCGUUUUGGUUGUUCGCAGUCAUCAGACAAUGGCUGCCUUCGGCGAGAUUGCGGUGGCGGAAUUUCUGCAAGGAUCACAGAGGCAGAGUAUGAUCUUGAAUCGAAGCUGGAGUAGUAAGCAGAAGCGCCGUGUGAUUCGCGGCAGCUUUCUGAAUCGGCAGUCUUCGUCUUCAAAUGGCCAUCUUGCAACGAGGGCCUCACUCGUAUUGAAGGCCAGAGCUGUGGUUUCAGGAGGAAUCCCCAAUACAGUAGAUGAAGAAGCCAGUCUGUUGGAAAGCAUUGGCGGGGUCGUGCAUUUUUACCGGAUUCCGUUGAUUCGAGAGAGCGCGACAGAAGAGCUGCUGAAGCUGGCCCAGAGGAAGAUUUCUAAUCAGAUCGUUGAUUUAAAGACGGAGCAAUGUUUCAAUAUCGGAUUGAGUUCUGUUCUGUCUAGCGAAAAGCUUGGAAUUUUGAAAUGGCUUCUUGGGGAGACAUAUGAGCCACAGAAUCUGCUUACAGAGAGCUUUCUCAAUGAGGAGGGGCGGGAAGGCGUUAGCACUGUAUUGGUUGAGGUGGGGCCGCGUCUGUCCUUCACGACAGCCUGGUCUGCGAAUGCGGUCUCGAUCUGCCAUUCGUGCACGCUGACAGAAGUGACCCGCUUGGAGCGAUCACGGCGGUAUUUGCUGUUUCUCAAGGCCGGAAAGGGGGUAUCAAGGGAGAAUCUUGUUAGGGAGUUCGCGGCAAUGGUCCACGAUCGGAUGACAGAAUGCAUCUACCCGUCCAAGCUCAUGUCAUUUGAGACGACAAUGGUUCCUGAGGCUGUUAGGCAGGUGCCUGUCAUCGAGAGAGGGAGGGAGGCAUUGGAAGAGAUCAAUGAGAAGAUGGGCCUUGCUUUCGAUGAACAGGAUCUGCAGUACUACACAAGGCUUUUUAGGGACGAUAUCAAGCGGAAUCCGACGACUGUUGAACUCUUCGACAUCGCACAGUCUAACAGUGAGCACAGUCGGCAUUGGUUUUUCAAUGGGAAGCUUGUUAUUGAUGGAAAACCAAUGGAUAAUACGCUUUUUCAGAUUGUCAAGAGUACUUUGAAGGCGAACCCCAACAACUCGGUUAUAGGAUUUAAGGAUAACUCGAGUGCUAUAAAGGGGUUUUCGGUGAAUACAUUGCGGCCGGUGACGCCUGGUUCGACAUCUCCUUUGUGCAGUUUGACGCGUGAUCUUGAUAUUCUGUUUACAGCAGAGACCCACAACUUCCCGUGUGCUGUGGCACCUUACCCUGGUGCUGAAACUGGUGCGGGAGGCCGCAUCAGGGACACUCAUGCAACAGGCCGGGGGUCUUUUGUGGUUGCUUCAACGGCUGGUUAUUGUGUUGGGAACCUUCAGAUGGAAGGGUCUUAUGCUCCAUGGGAAGACCCGUCUUUUGCUUAUCCAUCGAACUUGGCUUCACCUUUGCAAAUCCUAAUUGAUGCGAGCAAUGGCGCCUCGGAUUACGGGAACAAAUUUGGAGAGCCUUUGAUUCAAGGAUAUACAAGAACAUUUGGAAUGAGGCUCCCGAGUGGGGAGAGGAGGGAGUGGUUAAAGCCAAUCAUGUUCAGCGCAGGAAUUGGGCAGAUUGAUCAUGUGCAUAUAUCAAAAGGGGAGCCUGACAUUGGAAUGCUAGUGGUAAAGAUUGGUGGCCCUGCAUAUCGGAUUGGAAUGGGAGGUGGAGCUGCAUCGAGCAUGGUGAGUGGUCAGAAUGAUGCGGAGCUGGAUUUCAAUGCUGUUCAGAGAGGGGAUGCAGAGAUGUCGCAAAAGCUGUACAGGGUCGUCCGUGCCUGUGUUGAGAUGGGGGAGGAAAAUCCUAUUAUCAGCAUUCACGAUCAAGGUGCGGGCGGGAAUUGUAAUGUCGUUAAGGAAAUAAUCUAUCCAAAGGGAGCUGAAAUUGAUAUCCGGGCCAUAGUCGUUGGUGAUCAGACGAUGUCAGUGCUAGAGAUAUGGGGUGCCGAAUACCAGGAGCAGGAUGCGAUAUUAGUGAAGCCUGAAAGCCGAAGCUUGUUACACUCGAUUUGUGAAAGAGAAAGGGUGUCUAUGGCUGUGAUUGGGACCAUCAGCGGCGAUGGACGGGUUGUAUUAGUUGAUAGCUUAGCUAUGGAACAUUGCCAGUCGAGUGGUCUCCCUCUCCCCCCUCCUGCAGUGGACCUCGAGCUUGAAAGAGUGCUUGGAGACAUGCCUCAGAAAAUUUUUGAAUUCAAACGGUCUGCCCAAGCACGUGAGCCGCUUGAUAUUGCUCCUGGAAUCUCAUUGUUUGAUUGCCUGAAGAGGGUCUUGAGGCUUCCAUCUGUAUGUUCGAAACGCUUCUUGACAACAAAAGUUGAUAGGUGUGUAACAGGUCUAGUAGCACAGCAGCAGACAGUCGGGCCCUUGCAACUUCCUCUUUCUGAUGUUGCUGUGAUCGCUCAGACAUAUACAGCUAUCACGGGUGGUGCUUGUGCAAUUGGAGAGCAGCCCAUCAAGGGCUUGUUAAAUCUGAAAGCAAUGGCAAGAUUGGCUGUCGGGGAAGCACUUACAAAUCUUGUAUGGGCAAAGGUGACAUCUCUCUGCGAUGUUAAAGCAAGCGGGAAUUGGAUGUAUGCUGCCAAGCUUGAUGGAGAAGGAGCAGAUAUGUAUGAUGCAGCUACCGCUCUUGCAGAAUCGAUGAUCGAAUUGGGUAUUGCAAUAGAUGGUGGGAAGGACAGUCUUUCAAUGGCUGCUCAUGCCUCAGGCGAGGUCGUCAAGGCCCCUGGAAGUCUUGUAAUCAGUGUGUACGUCACAUGCCCAGAUAUAACAAUGACGGUGACUCCAGACUUGAAGCUCGGAGAUGAUGGUGUUUUGCUACACAUUGAUCUAGCGAAAGGGAAAAGACGGUUGGGUGGUUCUGCUCUUGCCCAGGUUUUUGACCAGGUUGGCAACGAAUGCCCUGAUCUUGAUGAUGUUCCUUAUCUCAAAAGUGUCUUUGAGUCCAUUCAAGAACUCCUUUCAGAAGGCCUGAUUUCAGCAGGCCAUGACAUCAGUGAUGGUGGGUUUAUUGUUUGCAUUCUUGAGAUGGCAUUUGCUGGAAACUGUGGUUUGCAGUUGGACUUGGCAUCACGGGGAAAAGGCCUCUUCCAAGCUCUUUUUGCAGAAGAGCUUGGUCUCGUUCUUGAGGUUAGCAAACGAGAUGUUGAUACAGUCAUGGAAAAACUUCAUGCAGCCCAUGUCUCUGCUGACAUCAUUGGACAUGUCACCAAAUCACCCAUCAUAGAAAUACAUGUCGAUGGAUUGCCUCAGUUGAAGGGGGAGACCACCCAUCUUCGGGACAUGUGGGAGGAUACUAGUUUUCAGCUUGAGGGCUUUCAAAGAUUAGCUUCUUGUGUGGAUUUGGAGAAAACGGGGUUGAAGAGUCGGCAUGUGCCUUCUUGGGUGCUGUCCUUUACCCCUCGAUUUACAGACGAGAAAUGGAUGGCUGUGUCUUCAAAGCCGAAGGUGGCCGUGAUUCGUGAGGAAGGGAGCAAUGGGGACAGAGAAAUGUCGGCUGCACUUUAUGCUGCUGGUUUCGAGCCUUGGGAUAUUGCAAUGUCGGACCUUCUAAGCGGGCAUGCUUCUCUUCGUGAGUUCCGUGGGUUGGUAUUUGUUGGAGGUUUCAGCUAUGCAGAUGUAUUGGAUUCUGCUAAAGGUUGGUCUGCUUCCAUAAGAUUCAAUAAGAUGCUCCUGAAUGAAUUCCAAGAGUUCUAUGAUCGGCCCAACACUUUCAGCCUCGGGGUCUGCAAUGGGUGUCAGCUCAUGGCAUUGUUGGGAUGGGUGCCUGGAUCGCAGGUCGGGGGUGUCCUUGGUGCAGGUGGGGACAUGUCUCAACCAAGGUUUGUUCACAAUGAAUCGGGCCGCUUCGAGUGCCGUUUUACAAGUGUGACAAUAGGAGAAUCCCCAUCAAUAAUGUUCAAAGGCAUGGAGGGUAGCAAGUUGGGUGUGUGGGCCGCUCAUGGUGAGGGGAGGGCGUAUUUCCCUGAAAAGGGCGUUUUGGAUCGCGUUUUGGAGUCAAAUUUGGCACCGUUGAGAUACUGUGAUGAUGAUGGGAGUGUGACAGAGGUUUACCCAUUCAAUCCAAAUGGUUCGCCGUUGGGGGUGGCAAGCCUUUGUUCACCAGAUGGGAGGCAUCUAGCCAUGAUGCCUCAUCCGGAGCGUUGUUUCAUGAUGUGGCAGUUUCCGUGGUAUCCAAAGGAAUGGGAUGUUGAUAGGAAGGGCCCUAGUCCAUGGUUGCGGAUGUUCCAGAAUGCUCGCGAAUGGUGCCAGUGAAAGAGAGUUGUUCAAAUUGUUAGGGAAGGAGACUAGACUACAGACUUGGAAUCAAUCAAACACCUUAUGGUUGAAAGUAUCUAAGAGCCUAGCAUCGCACCCAGAAACAAGACAUCUUUUAUUGAAUAGUAAUUCUGCAGUAUCCUUAUUAGUGCGCGCGAGGACAUUCCAACUUAGAUCCUCUUGAAGUUCAAGUAACAAAGUGGCUGAAUAUAGAAAUCAUGGAAAAUAACUUAAGCUUCGAUUAAUGUAUGAUGGAGGUAUGUUUCUCCUUGAGUUGACUUACUAUAUUGGUAGAUACAAUCAUUGUUAUUGUCAGCCAUGAUUAUUUUUUUUCUUGCAUUAGUUCCGAUUUAUUUCAUAGAGCGCAAU